GGUUUUGGCCAUUGUAAGUCUAGCCUGCUCACUGACAAAAAGUGUUAAAUAGCCGCGGUAUUUUGACCGUGCAAAGGUAGCAUAAUCAUUAGUUUUUUAAUUGGAAACUUGUAUGAAUGGUUGGACAAAGAAAAGACUGUCUCUUUUAUUAAAAUUGAAAUUAACUUCUAAGUGAAAAGGCUUAGAUUUUCUAGAGGGACGAUAAGACCCUAUAAAGCUUCAUAAGUUAAAUAAAUUAGAUGGAUUUUUAGAAUAAAAGUAAAUUUAGUAAGCUUAUUUAGUUGGGGCGACAAGGGUAUAAAAUUAAAUAACUGCUAUUAAGGUUAGACAAUUAUAUUUGGUUGGAUUGUAAUUGAUCCUCGCUAUGGAUUAAAAGAUUAAGUUACUUUAGGGAUAACAGCGUAAUUUCUUUUAAGAGUUCUUAUCAAAGGAGAAGUUUGCGACCUCGAUGUUGAAUUAAAAUGUCUUUAUAGUGCAGAAGCUAUAAAAGAAGGUCUGUUCGACCUUUAAUUUUUUACAUGAUCUGAUGCAAGACCGAGGAA
rnacentral:rRNA from 1 species